rnacentral:rRNA from 1 species
AGAGUUUGAUCCUGGCUCAGAACGAACGCUGGCGGCAGGCUUAACACAUGCAAGUCGAACGCCCCGCAAGGGGAGCGGCAGACGGGUGAGUAACGCGUGGGAACAUACCCUUUCGGUUCGGAAUAGCUCAGGGAAACUUGAAUUAAUACCGGAUACGGCCGGAAGGCGAAAGAUUUAUCGCCGAAGGAUUGGCCCGCGUUCGAUUAGCUAGUUGGUGAGGUAACGGCUCACCAAGGCGACGAUCGAUAGCUGGUCUGAGAGGAUGAUCAGCCACAUUGGGACUGAGACACGGCCCAAACUCCUACGGGAGGCAGCAGUGGGGAAUAUUGGACAAUGGGCGCAAGCCUGAUCCAGCCAUGCCGCGUGAGUGAUGACGGCCUUAGGGUUGUAAAGCUCUUUCGCUAGGGACGAUAAUGACGGUACCUAGACAAGAAGCCCCGGCUAACUUCGUGCCAGCAGCCGCGGUAAUACGAAGGGGGCUAGCGUUGUUCGGAAUUACUGGGCGUAAAGCGCGUGUAGGCGGGCUUUUAAGUCAGGGGUGAAAUGCCAAGGCUCAACCUUGGAACUGCCUUUGAUACUGGAAGUCUUGAGUCCGGGAGAGGUGAGUGGAACUGCGAGUGUAG